rnacentral:rRNA from 1 species
UACGUAGGUGGCAAGCGUUGUCCGGAUUUAUUGGGCGUAAAGGGAGCGCAGGUGGUUUCUUAAGUCUGAUGUGAAAGCCCACGGCUUAACCGUGGAGGGUCAUUGGAAACUGGGGAACUUGAGUGCAGAAGAGGAAAGUGGAAUUCCAAGUGUAGCGGUGGAAUGCGUAGAUAUUUGGAGGAACACAGUGGCGAAGGCGACUUUCUGGACUGUAACUGACACUGAGGCACGAAAGCGUGGGGAGCAAACAGGAUUAGAUACCCUUGUAGUCCCUGA